AUGAUAGAGAUAUGAAAUCACAAGAAGAAGAAAAUUAAAUUAUAUCCAUCAGAACUCCGAAGUUAAGCUUGCUUGGGCGAGAGCAGUACUAGGAUGGGUGACCUCCUGGGAAGUCCUCGUGUUGCACCCCU
rnacentral:rRNA from 1 species